rnacentral:rRNA from 1 species
UGGGGAAUUUUGGACAAUGGGCGAAAGCCUGAUCCAGCAAUGCCGCGUGUGUGAAGAAGGCCUUCGGGUUGUAAAGCACUUUUGUCCGGAAAGAAAUCCUUGGCUCUAAUACAGUCGGGGGAUGACGGUACCGGAAGAAUAAGCACCGGCUAACUACGUGCCAGCAGCCGCGGUAAUACGUAGGGUGCAAGCGUUAAUCGGAAUUACUGGGCGUAAAGCGUGCGCAGGCGGUUUGCUAAGACCGAUGUGAAAUCCCCGGGCUCAACCUGGGAACUGCAUUGGUGACUGGCAGGCUAGAGUAUGGCAGAGGGGGGUAGAAUUCCACGUGUAGCAGUGAAAUGCGUAGAGAUGUGGAGGAAUACCGAUGGCGAAGGCAGCCCCCUGGGCCAAUACUGACGCUCAUGCACGAAAGCGUGGGGAGCAAACAGGAUUAGAUACCCUGGUAGUCCACGCCCUAAACGAUGUCAACUAGUUGUUGGGGAUUCAUUUCCUUAGUAACGUAGCUAACGCGUGAAGUUGACCGCCUGGGGAGUACGGUCGCAAGAUUAAAACUCAAAUGAAUUGACGGGGGUCAUAGCUGUUU